AUCCAGCUGACGAGUCUCAAUUAGGACAAAACGCGAGUCAAGGAU
rnacentral:hammerhead_ribozyme from 1 species